GCAGGCAAGAAAAAACAAAAAACAGAAGAACCCACGAGGCAUGGACCAUCAAAGCAGGGUCGAUAUAUUUAUGAAUUGAAGCCAUAAUUGACGAUUUAGAAAGGAACAACCAGUUUCAGUGUUUGAGGUCGACAAAGAGGUGAUAAGAUCAGGAAUAUCAAUGCUUACAAUUUUAAUGACAACCAUUAGUAACAACCAUUAGUAAGACAUAGAUCUCAUCAUCUUUUAUUCCUGCAAUAACAACUUCAACUGUAAUUGCACAACUUGAAGCAAGUAUCUCAAUCAGUUUCAAUACACCACAAAGUCUCUAUGUUUGAGGAUUAGCCUUACAUUUAUUCAAUCAAUUACUCCACCAGUUCAAUCCAUCAUCUGAAACUUGAUUUUACUCAAUCAGCUCAAUAGUAAUCUGUAAUCUCAACCCGCGUCUUCUUCUAAUUUCUGUAAAUUUAAAACAACCUAGGAUCUUCGUUCUUCUCUUAAUUUGACAACAGCCCCAUCCCUUGACAAUCACCAUGGUAACAGCAUCCAACCCAUCUCUCUGAUUUCCCUCAUCACCGAUUUGAGUUCCUCAACCCUUUUCUCUGUUAACACAGAACCACAUCUUCUUCUCCGAAACAUAAAGACUAAAAAAACUCUCAAAUCCUCAGACCCUGAAUUUAAUUCAUCAAUUGAUCUCCGCGAUCUUUGUGUCAAUUUGACAAAAUUUUCAGAGGGGCAUUUUUAGUUUUUCAAUCCUAACCAUUUCUAAUCUUUUUGUUUCAAUUCUAACGCAUCUUCAACCGGCUGAAGUUUUGCUAAAGAAUUCUUCAUUUAGUGAUACUAUGCUUCUGAUUGCUGCACUUUGUUUUCAUUCAAUUUUUGAGGGCAUAGCCGUUGGAGUUGCAGGCCCGUAGUACACUGCGUAGUUGUUCACAUCGGCUAGUCCCGUGUUCUUCUAGCUUCGUCCUGGGCAUGUCAGCGAUAGCUUCGUUAGGGUAACCGUUUAGACUUCGGGGAGUGGAGAAGGCAUUAUGCUCCUGAUUUUUCUCGCCGAGUGAGAUUCGGUUACAACCCGAGUAUCCGUCUAUUAGGGUCAGUAACCCGCAUUCAGAUGUGGCUUCCACAAGCUGAUCGAUAUCGAUAAUCGGAAGGCAAUCCUUUGGACAAGUCCUAUUAAUGCAAAGUCGAACUUCUUCGUUUUUCUUCGGUAUUAUCACCAUGUUGGGAAUAUGUUCUCCUCGGACGACUUCUCAUGCAUUCAUUUUCUUUAGUUUAUUUUGAAUUGUCUUGUGAUACUACAGUGUCACCUUUCGCAUCUUUUGCCUCGUAGGAUUGUGGUCUUGGCAGACUUCUGGAUAUAUCCCAGGCAUAUGUCCCAUGUGUCUUGCAUAGAGCUGGCAAACAAGCCAAAACCCGCGGGUUAACCCGUGCCCGACCCGUGAAAACCCGAACCCGGCUCGGCUGGUUUCAAAACAAGCCGGGUUCGGGUUGGAGAAAUGCCGGCUUGUGAGUAAACGGGUUAACCCGUCCCGGCUCGGGAACCCGCGGGUUGAACCCGUAAACCCGUAAUGCUAUCAACGGCUGAGAUCGUAAGAUCUAACUUCUCUCUUAUAUAACUCCUCAAACAAAAAAUUUCUCAGUUCCUCCAAAACCUAAAAUCUCCGCUGCGGCUCAGAAGAAGGAAACGAAAGGCUUUCUAGGGUUUUCUUCAUCAUGGUUCUCUCAAAUGAUAUCGAUCUGUUGAAUCCAAAACCUGAUUUGGAGAAGAGGAGGCACAAGCUUAAGCGUUUGGUUCAAUCCCAAACUCCUUCUUCAUGCCUGCCUGCCUGUCAACGAAACUGCUUCCCAUUCAGUUUGUAUGUAUUUGAGAAUAAUUUUGGAAACGCUUUAACUUGUUGGAUGGUUUUGAGAUGUCAAUGUUCCAAUUUGCUUGAUCACUUUAAUGGGAGGACAUCAUUUGCAGUCUAAGAGACACUCCCUAAUUGAUGUUGCGAUCAAAUGUGAACUCAGACUGUCUCGGAGACUUUUCGAUUUGUGAUGGGACAUUCUUUCCGUCUCUCCACGAUGAGAUGUCUGCAAUUGUGGGUUGUUUCAACCGGCGUGCACAGAACCUGCUACAAGUUCAUUUAUCUUCGGGUUUCAGAAAGUAUUUUACAUGGAUUAAGAGAAAACUUGUGAAAGGAAAUCAAGCGGUUGCGA